GCAUAUCAAUAAGCGGAGGAAAAGAAACCAACAGGGAUUGCCCUAGUAACGGCGAGUGAAGCGGCAACAGCUCAAAUUUGAAAUCUGGCUCUCGGGCCCGAGUUGUAAUUUGUAGAGGAUACUUUUGAUGCGGUGCCUUCCGAGUUCCCUGGAACGGGACGCCAUAGAGGGUGAGAGCCCCGUCUGGUUGGAUGCCAAAUCUCUGUAAAGUUCCUUCGACGAGUCGAGUAGUUUGGGAAUGCUGCUCUAAAUGGGAGGUAUAUGUCUUCUAAAGCUAAAUACCGGCCAGAGACCGAUAGCGCACAAGUAGAGUGAUCGAAAGAUGAAAAGCACUUUGAAAAGAGAGUUAAAAAGUACGUGAAAUUGUUGAAAGGGAAGCGUUUAUGACCAGACUUGGGCUUGGUUAAUCAUCUGGGGUUCUCCCCAGUGCACUUUUCCAGUCCAGGCCAGCAUCAGUUUUCCCCGGGGGAUAAAGACUUCGGGAAUGUGGCUCUCUUCGGGGAGUGUUAUAGCCCGUUGUGUAAUACCCUGGGGGGGACUGAGGUUCGCGCAUCUGCAAGGAUGCUGGCGUAAUGGUCAUCAACGACCCGUCUUGAAACACGGACCAAGGAGUCGUCUUCGUAUGCGAGUGUUCGGGUGUCAAACCCCUACGCGUAAUGAAAGUGAACGCAGGUGAGAGCUUCGGCGCAUCAUCGACCGAUCCUGAUGUUCUCGGAUGGAUUUGAGUAAGAGCAUACGGGGCCGGACCCGAAAGAAGGUGAACUAUGCCUGUAUAGGGUGAAGCCAGAGGAAACUCUGGUGGAGGCUCGCAGCGGUUCUGACGUGCAAAUCGAUCGUCAAAUAUGGGCAUGGGGGCGAAAGACUAAUCGAACCUUCUAGUAGCUGGUUUCCGCCG
rnacentral:rRNA from 1 species